UACGUAGGGGGCAAGCGUUGUCCGGAUUUAUUGGGCGUAAAGAGCGUGUAGGCGGCCACACAGGUCUGCUGUGAAAACUCGAGGCUCAACCUCGAGACGCCGGUGGAAACCGUAAAGCUAGAGUCCGGAAGAGGAGAGUGGAAUUCCUGGUGUAGCGGUGAAAUGCGCAGAUAUCAGGAGGAACACCCGUGGCGAAAGCGGCUCUCUGGGACGGUACUGACGCUGAGACGCGAAAGCGUGGGGAGCAAACAGG
rnacentral:rRNA from 1 species